AGUGAACGCUGGCGGCGUGCUUAACACAUGCAAGUCGAACGAGAACGGUCCUUCGGGAUGUCAGCUAAGUGGCGGACGGGUGAGUAAUGUAUAGUUAAUCUGCCCUUUAGAGGGGGAUAACAGUUGGAAACGGCUGCUAAUACCCCAUACUCCUUUUACCUUAAUGGUAAUUGGGAAAUGUUUUUUCGCUAAAGGAUGAGACUAUAUGGUAUCAGGUAGUUGGUGGGGUAAGAGCCUACCAAGCCAAUGACGCCUAGCUGGUCUGAGAGGAUGAUCAGCCACACUGGAACUGAGACACGGUCCAGACUCCUACGGGAGGCAGCAGUGGGGAAUAUUGCACAAUGGAGGAAACUCUGAUGCAGCAACGCCGCGUGGAG
rnacentral:rRNA from 1 species